CAAUAGAUUGUGCUGAGCACCGACGUCACCCCGACGGGGCCCACGUAGCCCUGGCAACCCCGACACAAACACUCGUCCGCCCGGGAUAGCCCCAAUGCACCUAGGUGCAGGGCUUUUGGAGGCCAGAGGACAUCUUUCCUUUACUCAGGGAAAAGUUAUUUUUUUUACUCACGGAUGAUCUGUGUGCUUGCUCGCACGACACCCCGACACGUUCGAGCUUUCUCUGUCAUCUGUUUCAUCUCGAAAUAUGUAUUUGAGGAAGUGUCUGGGACUCCUAUUCCACGCAGGGCAUCAAUUUUUCCAGACAGCUGAAAGUUAAUGACUGCCAUGAUUCAAGCAAGCAGUUCUUGUGAAACCAGCUUGGGGAUGUUGCCUAGCAAAACAAAUUCUGUCAACAUCAUCCAGCAGUCUGACGUGGUACAUAAUACAUGAAGCCAUAUAUAAAAACCAGGAAGCCAUCCAAGGGCAACAGCACAUUUUAGCUCUGCUACAGACCAUACACGGGAUACAGUGAUGGAGAAAGCUAGUUCUGGCUGCUUUUUCCAGCAAAUGUAUUCUUCCCUAAUUGGCAUUUCUAUGGAGAGAGACCACAUGAAGGAUCUCAGGAGAUACUUGGUACUUAAGUAUAUCCAGUACCUCGUCCUGUCGUCUUCAAACGCUGUCAGCACCUUUCUGGGCCUGCUGGGCAGUUUGUAUACGAUCAUCCUCCUGCAGUCUGCAAAGGUUUCGUCCAAGUCUACUACGGUUCUCAUCUCAAGCAUAGCAAAAGCAGACAUCCUGGUUUCUGUUUGCGUUGUUUCUGACAUGAUCAUAUGGACCUUUGAUGUUCGCAUCUUAUCUACAGCGUUUACGUCAGCCCUGCUGCAGAAUCUCCUUACUGCAAACGCACACGUUAGCUGCUUGCUGCUAAGCUGCAUCGCCUUCGAGGCUUAUUUAAUAACGUUCUUUCCCAUGGAGUCUCGCCACGUAAGGACGGUGAAAAAUGCCAAACUGACAUCCAGGAUCGUCUGGAUCUUAGUAACUGCGGAGUGUGUCAUAUUCCAGACGGAAGACUUCCUGAAAGCCGGCAGCAUAUCUGCUCACAUCAGCAGCCAUUGCACUUCGGUGUUUGAUCUCUCAGGCAGGGUUGCAGCUCUUCUCAGGUCCCUCAGUUACUUCCUUGGGAUAUUUUUAAGAAUUGUCAAUGUAUACUUUUACUACAAAAUAUUUUUUAGUAUGUCUAACAGAUCUACACUAAAAACAAAAUAGCAGAUACUCCCCAAAGAAGCAGCUGGGUGACACCAAACAGAACAUGCUUCAACACGGUUUGAACGUAUCGGUUUGAAAAACAUUCAACAACCAGGAAGCCGGGACCAAGGCUCACAUUUUGGAACACUACUGAGAUAAAACCUUCCUGUUUUCUGACAUUAUUUGGCCUCUCUUGUUGUGAGGAGCUCAAGGGGUUGGUGUGCCCCUUGGCAGGGAAACCAGACCAAGCUAGGCUGUGGUGGUGUCAACAGCCGCAGAGCAAGACAGGCUUGCUUUGGUUGUUUCCAAUCUGGAGUUUAUUCAUCGUACAUAUUAAACAAAUGGUAUUUCAUGAAUGGUUGUAAAAAGUGAGGCAAUCCAAAUAUUUUUACAUAAAAAGGGUGCUUAGAGGCUGACUCAGGGAUUUAUUGAGCCAAGGGCCAUACCAUAUAUUGAAAAAAAUGAUCUAUGUCCUAAAACGUCUAUAACUCAGGUUAAUCACGAGGCUCAGCAGGUAGGAUCAAGGGACAAGGUGGCCUCCGCGCUGACCCAGACUACCCAGGCUCAUCCUGCAGCUGGAGAGCAUCCGGCUCAUCGCCGCGCCGGAGAGCAGGGCCGAGCUGCUACGCCUCCGGGCGCUGCCGGGAGCUGAGCUUGGGAGGUCGCUGCCACGCACCAGUGAGUAGCUCCUUCGGCAGCCCCUGCCAGAGAUAAACAGGAUGUGGAAGGCCAGAGCAAAGCUGCUUCCUGCAGCUCUACAAAGGGGAGGCUGAGAAGACCUCUGUGUUGAAGACCUCUGUGUUGAAGACCUCUGUGUUGAAGACCUGGGUCCAGCAAGAGCUGUCAUUUGGGUGACCGUGCUCCUGACGUAUGGAGAGACAUGCACGAGCGCUAGCACGGGUCUUCCAGCUCCCCCGAGGAGCGGGGCAGAAGAGAGGACCAGGCUGGUGGAGAGGAGCUGCCGAUGGGCAACAGCGCUGGAAACCGAAACCAAGGCUGAGGACACAGGCGUCACGCUUCAGAGACCGCUCGAGGGACGGGACCUUUGACAUCUGCUCCUUGGUCUCCUUGUCUGCCUGGUGAGGACGGCAGUAAUUGCGUUUCUCCCCAAAGGAGUGUUGAGAACUUGAACUUUUGUGACAUGUUUUGCAAUAUUUGAAAAGUGAAAAUAAAAACGAAAUGAGCCAAAAAAA